rnacentral:lncRNA from 1 species
UCAAUUCCUACACAAAACGUUUUCAAAGAAUUACUUUCCUUCUAGUUUACCCCAUUAAUGAAAAUUCCAACGAAAAGAAAAAUCCUAAUCAGUUUACAGAAACUGAAACCUAUAGUCAAACAAAACCCCACUUACCAGAAUCGCACGAUGAACACUAAAAUAUCGAAAUACAAUGAUACGACACCAGAUAAAAGACAGAAUUGCAGGAAAAAGAAGAGAAAGAAGAAUGUGGCAGCGAAAAGAGAAAACUAACGUCAGACUUUUUGGAAGAGAGAGAAAAAAUUGGAAAAAAUAAAAUAAAAUAAAAAGAUAAUCAAUUUGAUCUUGAUUAACAUCUCAACUCCCCACUAACAACCACAUCCAACUACUUCAGACUCUCAACUCCAUCGAACAUCUAACAGAUAUCCGGAACAAAACUUAACACACACUCACGCAGGGAUUUAAACAGAAGACCUCUAGCAAGCUAACUCUUUACCCACCCAACAGGAAUAAGGCUUGGAUAAAAAAUAAAAAAAUUUCCAAAGAGUAAGACUUGAACUCAAGACCUCAUACACACACCCAGAACACUUAACCACUAAAGCAGAUACACUUAAACACUUAACCUCAUAAAUUAAUCGUGGCAUUACAAAAAUUGCCACUUAAAGCCCUAAAUUCUUGAUUUUAUACUCCUUUAAUACAAUUAACAAAUAACAUUAAACUUUUAUAGUUUACGUUUUAGUCCUUUUACCUAAUUAAAAUAAUCAAAUGAUAAAAUCAACGUAUCGAAUUUUUAUACGACAUUACCACAGCCAUCCAGAUGCUAAUUAAAUAAUAAAAUAACAUGCUAAUUGGAGUUGUGGUCCUGAACCACGGUUCCCGAUACCACUGAAAAUGGACUGUUACAAUUUUAGUCCAUUUAAUAUUAAAAAAAAUAGUCUUUGUAUGUUUGAAAUGAUAAUAUUUUAGUCAUUGUACAUUAAUUUUAUCGUUAACGAAAUGACAUGGUUUAAGAGUGACUGAUAUAACAUUAAAUCAAAUUCAAUUGAAAAGUUACACAACAAUUUUGAAAACUGAGUAGAGAUAAAAAAUAAAUUUUGUUUUUAUCCUUUUUGGUCCUGACAGUAUAACCUAUGGUAGGAAUAGUAGCCUCUGCAUGAUUCACAGAUGAAUCAGUGACUCUCCCCUGAAUGCCUUUGCCACUGGCACCACCUCGGGUACUACCAGAACCUCGAGGUGCGGAAGUUGAUCUUUGAGAUGACAUAGAGGUAACAUUAACAGACUUUGGACAAUCUCGAACAUAAUGCUCCAUUGAACCACAUCUAAUAUAUGCACCGAUCUUACGCCAUCACUCUCCUUUAUGAAUCUUCCCACAAUAAUCGCAUUGAGGUAUCCAAACAGUACGACCAGGAUGGUCUAUUCUGGCUAUUGGAGCAAAUGACUAUCUAGAUCGGUUUCUGCCCUCAGCAUCAAUCUGAAGUGUAGUGAAUCUCCCUUGACUUCUUAAAUCUCUAGCUUGUUUAGAAGGUGGCUGUAAGCUAGAAUCGAUCGGCCUCUUUCUUUGAGAUUUGUCAUCCACUUUCUCUUUAUCUAACCCCAUUGCUUGCUCUGCCAUUUUGGCUCUUUCUACCAUAUCAACAAUCUUUAUAAUCGUAUGAGAAGCCAACUAAACUUUAAUCUCGUGUCUCAAUCCCAUUAGCCUAGAAUAAAAAUGUGCAUAUUUCCCCAAAAAUUGUAAAUUUAAGUGAAAUUAGCUUUGACAACACCUAGUUUAUAAAGAAUAAUUCUCAUACCCUAAACUAGGCUCCCACGUCUUGCGUAUGAUGCUUCAUUUACUUAAGUCAUUGGCCCAAAAAAGAGCAAAAUAAAUAAAUAAAUAAUGAAA